ensembl:lncRNA
GUGAAUACGUGUGUAUUGAAUUUGCAAUGCUGGAAUUUUGUUUUCAAUCAAAAUAUACAAACCCAAUGAAUUGCAGAGGAAACUAAUUCAAGCAUUGUUAAUGCUGUGGGUUUUUAAACUGUUUUUUUUUUUUUUUCCAAUUUGUGUCAAAUUGCUGGGCAGAAAAAUUAUUUUCAAGUAUUGUUAUUGCGAUACGUUUUUAUUCGAUUUAUGUCAUUCAACAUGCCAUUUUGCCUUGAGGACAUUUGGCACUAUUAUACUUCCAUAAAAAAAAAAAAAACAACCUUACAUGAGAAACACUGGGGAAAAAAUACUCCCUCUGCAUUAGUCAAGGUUACAAUCAGUUUACUAACCCCUUUUUAAACGGAUACAGAAAUAAAAACAGAUCUGCGUUAACUAGAAAAGCUUUAUUACAAGUAUUUGUAAUAACAGCUGUAUUAUGGCCAUGACAGACUUUAUUAUUAUUGAACUAUCCAUAAAAUCUCAUAUCCAUACGCAGGAUAACUCUGUAAAGCUGAAGUUUUGGUAAACGAGUAAUACAUCCACAUGUACUCCCUUAACCACAUACUUAGACAGACAGACUUUUGUGUAAAAUGUUUUUUUUUUUUUAAUUUAAAUAAUGGUUUUGUAUUCCUGAGAGGUUUUUCACAGAUUUGAGGUUCACAUUUGUAGAUAACACAAGCUCAGUCGAUACUAUAAAAAUACAAAAAAAGAACGGAGGAAAUGUCACAGCUUAGGUUUAUGUAGUACAGAAGGCAGAAGUUAUCUCUUUGUAAAAGUCAAGGACCAAAGGAAAACUCCAUCCUGAACGAGUCGCAUAUUAAUCUUUAAUAAUUAUGUCAUGUUCAACAGCAUCCGAGAUUUAUUUUUGUAAUUAAAAUUCUGACUCGAAUUUUAUUAUUAUUAUUUUUUUUAGUUUAAAUGUCUUUCAGACACGUUGGUGCCGGUUUAUUUCCACUCCACGGUUUCCUACAUUACCCACAAUGCCAUAUGUCUACCCACUGAUAGUGUUGGCAGUGGAAUCUCUGGUUAAAGACAGCGAUGCAGCGGCGCUUUACUCCUUUAGUCUGUCCGGCUCUCUCACGUCCUCGUCUGUACGCUCUGCUCAAACAGAUCAGCUUCUAAAGCUUCAGUUUUUAUGCUAGCACUUGUCGUCUGGUUGCCUGCUAACUACUCGAGUGUAAUAGCUACGCUGCAUUCUGGGACUUUUCUGGCCCGACAUUCGUGUUAACGUCUCUAUGUUGGAUUUCUCAUUAAUAUGACGCUGAACGUGGCUGGAAAACGUUCAGUGACGUGUUGCGCAAGCGAUAACGACGUCACACUGCAAACGUCAGAGCGACACACGGCCAAGGAUAACGUAGAAAAAAAAAUAAUAUAAUAGAGCACCGACCAACAAAUCAGCACUAUUAUCUCUUAACAUAUCACAAACUAUCUUAAUAUAGAUAUAUUUAAUGUGGUUCAGAGUGGAGGUUUCCGUUGAGGGGAGGUAGAAACGAGUCGUAAUACGCCAGUGCCGGUAAGGAUCAGUGUCCAAGUCCAACCACGCUUACAAAUUUCCUUAAUACUGUAAAAAAUCAGAACCUGUGGACUAGGCAAGAUCUUCCAUUGAGAGAGAAGCAUAGCUGCUAAAGAUACACGUUUGAAAGUUGCACGCGUGCUCGUAGCUUGGCCUGAACCCGUUACCGCGGCAACGGCUAGCUUCAGUAAGGCUGGAGGUAGGAAAAUAAACUCCACGCGCAACGCGUGGAGGUCAGGAAAAGACUUGAAGAACUUCCGAAUGAGCUACCUGAUCCUUCACAGCAUCGCACAUCGCAUGAAAGGAGUUAUAAAGUUACACCAGUGAAAUAAUAGGGCCAAAUCCAUGCAGGGGAAUCCAUCCCAACUGAAAGCGAGGUCUGAGGGACAGAUGGGGCUGAAACGGAGGAAGGAACAUCCCAUAAUCUUCAUCAAGGAAUAGGUGAACUAUAACAGGACUUCUGGUGUGUGUGUGUGUGUGUG